CUCCAGGAUCUCGUUUCUGUGGUUGCAGAGGUUGUCGCAGUGGUUCCCGGAGGUCCGCCGCAGCUCCUCGUACUGCAGGACGAGAGAGCUCAAAGGUCUGCUGAGGGCUCCUCCCUUUCAGAUGUCCCUCUGGGAUCUCAGAAGAGGUUUCCAUGCUCAGCAUGGGGUGGCGACAGACCGAGAACCAAGGACGGACUGUAUCUGACCCCAAGAUGCAUGGGGAACCAAGGUUGUUUCUUCUGAGCCCCCUUGACUGAUGGGCUGAUGGGCGGCCCAGGAGAACAGCAGGAGAAGAAGGGAUGAACCCUGGUGUGGAUGGACCAUAGAAUCACUGGGAACUCACUUCAGGCCAGGGGUUCCAUACCUCUGAUCACCAUGGAUCUCCAGAAAAUGGGCAGAAUAUCGCUUGGGGCACUCUCUGAGCAACGGUACCCAUUGGCUUCCGAAAACAAGUCCAAACUACUUAGCACAGCUCUGAAGAUUUGCUGUGCUCUGGUCCUAUGCUCCCCUUCCAGCCCCACGUCCCCAUGGUCCUUCACACUGGGAACCUCGUUUUCAUGCUCGGCAUCCUGGCUACUGCUGUCCCUCAGCCAGAUGCACCCUCCCCUCCUGCUCUGCUGAUUGAAAUCAUGCUUGGCCUUCAAGAUCCAGAUCAAAUGCAGAUGGCUCUGCCAUUCCGGGCACUGCAUGCGAUCGGGUUUUUCCAUUUGGUUGGUUACUCGUUUCUCUCCCCAUGGACUGUAGUGUCCUUGAGCACAGGGGUGGCCUGUCGCUUAGUGUCCUCAUGGUGCCACACACCUCGGUAAGACCAUCCUUCCCCUGCUACCUUCUUCAAACCACAUUUCCACAACACCUCCCAUGCUCUCCUCCAUGGCACGCGUCGCCAUCUAACUCACAAACACUUGUUUGUCUUGUUCGCUGUCUGUCCUCCCUCUGUCCCUGCCUCUAGAAUGAAAGUGACAUGAAGGCAGGGAUUGCUGUCUGUUUCGUUCCCUGCCUGGAACAGUGCUUGGCACAUAAUGGAUGCUCAAGGAACAGCUGUCGAAUGAAUAAAUGGAUAAGCGAAUGGAUACAUGGUGCCUUUCACAGAUGGGGCA